rnacentral:rRNA from 1 species
UACGAAGGGUGCAAGCGUUACUCGGAAUUACUGGGCGUAAAGGGGGCGUAGGUGGUUUGUUAAGUCUGCUGUGAAAUCCCCGGGCUCAACCUGGGAAUGGCAGUGGAUACUGGCAAGCUAGAGUGCGGUAGAGGGUAGUGGAAUUCCCGGUGUAGCAGUGAAAUGCGUAGAGAUCGGGAGGAACACCAGUGGCGAAGGCGGCUACCUGGACCAGCACUGACACUGAAGCACGAAAGCGUGGGGAGCAAACAGG